rnacentral:rRNA from 1 species
AACACAUGCAAGUCGAACGAGAUCGAUUCAGUAGCAAUACUGAUGAAGAUCUAGUGGCGGAACGGGUGCGUAACACGUGAGGAACUUGUCCCGGUCUCUGGGAUAACAGUUGGAAACGACUGCUAAUACCGGAUGACGUCGGAACUUCGCAUGGAGUACUGACGAAAGGGUUACUGGAUCGGGAGAGCCUCGCGGCCUAUCAGCUUGUUGGUGGGGUAAUGGCCUACCAAGGCAUCGACGGGUAGCUGGUCUGAGAGGAUGAUCAGCCACACUGGGACUGAGACACGGCCCAGACUCCUACGGGAGGCAGCAGUGGGGAAUCUUGCACAAUGGGCGAAAGCCUGAUGCAGCAACGUCGCGUGCGGGAAGAAGGCCCUCGGGUUGUAAACCGCUUUCAGAAGGAACGAAACUGACGGUACCUACAGAAGAAGGUGC